rnacentral:rRNA from 1 species
GAUGAACGCUGGCGGCGUGCUUAACACAUGCAAGUCGAACGGAAAGGCCCCAGCUUGCUGGGUACUCGAGUGGCGAACGGGUGAGUAACACGUGGGUGAUCUGCCCUGCACUUUGGGAUAAGCUUGGGAAACUGGGUCUAAUACCGAAUAUGACCACUUCUUGGAUGUUGUGGUGGAAAGCUUUUGCGGUGUGGGAUGAGCCUGCGGCCUAUCAGCUUGUUGGUGGGGUAAUGGCCUACCAAGGCGGCGACGGGUAUCCGGCCUGAGAGGGUGUACGGACACAUUGGGACUGGGAUACGGCCCAGACUCCUACGGGAGGCAGCAGUGGGGAAUAUUGCACAAUGGGCGCAAGCCUGAUGCAGCGACGCCGCGUGGGGGAUGAAGGCCUUCGGGUUGUAAACUCCUUUCGCUAUCGACGAAGCCACUUGUGGUGACGGUAGGUAGAUAAGAAGCACCGGCUAACUACGUGCCAGCCGCCGCUGUAA